rnacentral:rRNA from 1 species
GACGAACGCUGGCGGCGUGCCUAACACAUGCAAGUCGAACGGAGUAAGAGGCUUCGGCCUUUUACUUAGUGGCGAACGGGUGAGUAACGCGUGAGGAACCUGCCUCUCAGUGGGGGACAACAGUUGGAAACGACUGCUAAUACCGCAUAAUGUUAUCGAAUGGCAUCGUUUGAUAACCAAAGAUUUAUUGCUGAGAGAUGGCCUCGCGUCUGAUUAGCUAGUUGGUGGGGUAACGGCCCACCAAGGCGACGAUCAGUAGCCGGACUGAGAGGUUGACCGGCCACAUUGGGACUGAGAUACGGCCCAGACUCCUACGGGAGGCAGCAGUGAGGAAUAUUGGUCAAUGGUCGGAAGACUGAACCAGCCAAGUAGCGUGAAGGAUGACUGCCCUACGGGUUGUAAACUUCUUUUGUUUGGGAAUAAAAGACGCUACGUGUAGCGUUCUGCAUGUACCUUACGAAUAAGCAUCGGCUAAUUCCGUG